rnacentral:lncRNA from 1 species
AAUUUCUCAAAUUCUAAGAUGACAUUGAUAUUGAUUAUUGGUAUGAGUUGGAAAGCAAAGAUGUGUGAUAAAGGUUUGUUGUGAAGAGAUAGUGAUGUUCCUUGAUAUUGUUUGACAUUUCUUGACAUUCCUUGAUACCCUUUCAUCUUCCUUGAUAUCCCUUAGUGUUCUUUGAUAUUGUUGAUAUUCCUUGAUAUUCUCUGAUAUUCCUUAACAUUUCUUCAAUUUGAUUGGGAUGAACAACCCUAUUUAUAGGGGACACAAGGUAUACCUGUCUGUGUGAUAGGAGUUGGAUGGGACGCCAUCACUUGUGUGUGUUGUGAUUACAAGAAGGUUAACAACCUUUAGUAGUGUCUAAUGUGGACACGCAACACCAAGUUCGUUGAUCAUAUAGAUCUCUCAGUCACUCCUUUAUUCAAAGGUGAUCUACCUUGAAAACAUCUUGUUCUAUUCAAAAUUCCCAAAGAUUGAUUCUUGGGAAAUGAAUUCUGCAAUUGCGAAAGUUGAUUCUCCAAUUUCUUUAAAGCUAAAGGUAUGCCAAGGCCGAUCAAAGGUGUAUGAUGAUACGUUAUGACGAAGUGUAUAGUGGAAUCUCCUAAGUAAUACGUUUUAGUUUCUUCGGAGGAUUCCGAGGACGGAAUCCUUAUAAGGGGGGUAGAAUGUAAUAUCCCGUAUUAUUAAAUUUAGAUUUGAUUAUUAUAAAUCUAUUUGUCUAAAUAUUGUUGUUGGCUUUAAUUGAAAAGUGAAUUGAUUAUGUGAAUAGUUUUAUAUGAGUAUACUUGUUCUAUGGAUUAAUAUGGAUUAUACUGAUUAUGCGUCCUCCUUCUUUCUCGGAUUCCGAGGACGGAAUCCCUAUAAGGAGGGUAGAUUGUAAUAACCCGGAUUUUAAAAAUAUUUUUAUUAAUAUUAUAAAUGAUUUUCUUAAAAAGAAAGGAAUAAGAUUUAAUAUUUUAUUCCAGUUUAAUGAGUUUUCAA